GUGUGUCCUCACUAACAAACAACAAGAGGUGUUUGAGCGACUCGCACGCCAUUGCAACAAGUUUGCUAAACUCAUUCCUAUGUCAUUUGUUCUUGGUGAGCAUAUAUGUUCUGACCAUAGCAACAUGACAUUACUGACUCCUUGUGUUCCUUGUUAAACUGGUCUGUGGUCUUGGUCAGGGUUCUAUGUCACCCAGGCGUUUCAGCGUUGGUGGGGUCAGUAUACAAGCUUUCCCCUGCCAAAUGAUGGUCAUAUCUGGGAAUGUCCAUGGCACAGAUGAAAGCGGCCGUCUGCUGAGGAGAACUUUGAUCGGGUAUGCAAACCUGUCGUCUGUCCUCAUCCUGCGCUCCAUCACGAGAACGCAAGAGAUUCCCAAAUCUGGAGGACAUUGUGGAGGCUGGUAAGAACUCUGCAUCAGAAAAUGUGUGCAAGGAAAACAAAAAUCACCAGUUAAUAAGAAUCAUUUAUUUGUGAAUUAGACUACUCUGUGCUCACAUUUUAUGUUUUGUUUUUUGGUUUUGUUUUUGCAAGGACAAUUCAAUAGGAAGACAUUUCUUACCAUUGCAUUCAAUACAGACUAAGGAAAAAUAUGAUUUCUUUUGCCUUUAAAGUGAAGUGUGUAAGAAAUACUGAGCCACUUAUUCCAAACCAGUGCAUUUGUCAGAAUUAUAUUUGGAAACCAUUUAUUUGACACUGCUUUUAUUUUAUUUUUUGCAGGAUUCAUGAACGCAGACGAGCUCAAGAAACUAAACCAUCUGUACUCUGCCAUUAACAAAUACUGGAUGUCACUUGCAUGGUUUGCUAAUCUGGCAUCACAAGCGAGAAAAGAAGGGCGUGUGAAAGAUGAUAUAGCAUUGCGACUUAUCAUGUGAGUGCAUUUAAACUGUCAUAUGUGCAAUAAAAGCAGAAUAAUUCAUUUCUUUCUUCCUGUUUGCCAGGAGCAAAACAACUAUAGAUUAAAAUGCAGCAUGUUAUUCCACUGUGACUGGAUCAGCAUUCCGUUGGUGAAGCUCAUCCGACAGAUCUCUGACUCAGUGUGUGCACCUCAGGUCAUUUCACUUCUGUUUGGAUGCAGGAUUCUUGAGGAUAACGAGGAACCUUUAGCAGCCCCCAAGACACAAAUGCUUGCCUUUAACGUGUGGCCGACUACACAAAUAAAAGCAGAAGAACAAGAGCUUAUGCCUUUGCUGCAGAUUUAA
rnacentral:lncRNA from 1 species